CGCAGUGGAGGCUUGGGAGGGGAGCUUGGGGGCUGGGUAGACAGAAAAGGGGGCAGAUAAUAACUCGAAGAACAACAAAAACAACAACUAAAAUAGAACCAACCUAAAGGAAGUAAAAACAAGGCAGCAGCCCCCUACUGGAGCAGAUAUAAUAGGGGGUGAUUUUUGGGAUCCACAUGGCUCAUGGAGGAAUGAAGAGGCCCAGCCUUUUAAGAAAAUGAUUUAUCAACUGGUAACAAGAGUCAUUAAAAAUUUAUAAUCAAUGAAAGAACUUCUAAAUAGCUCAUGAGAGAAAAAGGAAAUAACAAUAAAAAUCAUAAAAUAUUUAGACCUGGAUAAGCAUGAGAGUAUCACAUAUCAAAACUUGUAAGUUUUGAUACUAGGGAAAUGAUGUUAGACACAAAGCAAAGUGGAGCGAUUUUCUUAUUCAAGUUCAAAAUGGGUCAUACGUAAAGCAAUGGAGACAAGUCGCAACAUCAGUAACACCUUUGGCCCAGGAAUGGCUAACGUACAGUGCUACGGUGGUUCAAGUUUUGCAAAAGAGACAAGAGCCUUGAAGAAGCCCUCGGAAGUUGCAGUGAUCAAUUGAGAGGAUCAUCAAAGCUCAUCCUCUUACAACUACAAGAGAAAUUGCUGAAGAACUCAGUGUGGACCAUUCUAUGGUCUUUUGGCAUUUGGAGCAAAUUGGAAAGGUGAAAAAACUCGAGUGGGUGCCUCAUGAGCUGACCUCAAAUAAAAAAAAAAUCAUUUUGAAGUGUUGUCUUUUCUUAUUCUACGUAAUAACAAUAAACCAUUUCUUGAUCAGAUUGGACGUGCAGCGAAAAGUGAAUUUUAUACAACAACCAGCAAUGACCAGCUCAGUGGUUGGACCAAGAAGAAGUUCCAAAGCACUCCUCAAAGCCAAACACACCAAAAAAAGUUCAUGGUCACUGUUUGGUGGUCUGCUGCCUGUCUGAUCCACUGCAGCUUUCUGAAUCCCAGUGAAACGAUUACAUGUGAGGAGUAUGCUCAGCAAAUUGAUGAGAUGCACCCAAAACUGCAACAUCUGCACCUGACAUCAGUCAACAGAAAGGGCCCAAUUCUUCCCCAUGACAAUGCCCGACCACACAUCGCACUACCAACGCUUCAAAAGUUGAACAAAUUGGGCUAUAAAGUGUUGCCUCAUCCGUCGUAUUCACCUGAGCCCUUGCAAACCAACUGCAAGUUCUUCAACCAUCUCAACAACUUUUAGCAGGGAAAAUGCUUCCACAACCAACCAGAGGCAGAAAAUGUUUCCCAAGAGUUCUUCGAAUCCCAAAGCACAGAUUUUUAUGCUACAGGAAUGGACAAAUUUAUUUCUCAUUGGCAAAAAUGUGUUGAUUGUAAUGAUAUCCAUUUUGAUUAAUAAAGAUGUGUUUGAGCCUAGUUAUAAUGAUUUAAAAUUCACCAUCCAAAACCACAAUUGCUUUUGUACCAACCUAGUAGAAAAUCAAGGAGUAGUAGAGAGGAUGUCUAACUGAAAAGUUGAUUCCUUUGGGGGAAAGAACUAUUAAAGAAGGUAAACCAUCUGAGACUCAUCAAACAAAGCACUCAUGAGUAAUAAGAAGUAAAGAGAUGUAUAAUACGAAUACAGGGAGAUUUUGAAAACUUAGUGGAAAUGGGUGAUUCUCAGGUAUUCCCCAGCAGUCCAGUGGUUAGGACUCCAUGGAUUCACUGCUGAGGGCCGGGCUUCAACCCCUGCUCAGGGAACUAAGAUCCCACAUUCCAUGGGGCAACUCAGCCCAUGUGCCACGACUACUGAAGCCUGGGCACCACAACUAGAGAGUCCGUGCGUGGCAACGAAAGAUCCACGUGAGACAACUAAGACCCGACACAGUCCAAUAAAUUCUCUCUCAAAAAGUAAACCAUCAAAGUGCAGUUAGGAAAUACAAACGCAAACCGAUAACCACUGAUAACCGAUAACCUGAAUUGUUAAUGUAGAAAUUAGUUUUUCUCCUCAGUCUCACAAAGGCAACAGGGUCAAAUCAUUUACUGGUGAGUUUUACCAAAUAACAGAUCAUCCUUAUUUUAUAAAAAUUGUUUCAGAGCUCAUCUUAUGAGGACAGUAUGACCUUGAUAUUAAAGCCAGAUUAAGAUGCUAUGCUAAAAAAUCCCAAAGUGAUCUCACCUAGCUACAAGAAUUCUAAAUAAAAUACAUCAUGAACAAAUAGGGUUUAUUCCCAAAAUGGAGUAAUGACCUGAUAGAAAAGAUCUAUUGAUAUGAUAUAUCAUAUUAACAGAUCAAAGGAGAAAGCUGUUUGAUCAUCUGAAUGAAUAUAGAAAAAGUAUCUGAAAAAUUAGCAGUCACAUGCUUGUUCUUGUGCUUAGCAAAUGAAGACUAGAAGACCAUUUCCUUAAGUUUCUAAAAAGUAAUUAUCAUAAAUUAAUAGCAACCAUCACAAUUACUGUUGAACCUCUAAUAGCAUCCUUAUUAAGGUCAAAAGAAGGAUGCUGAUAAUCCCCACUUCUGAGAGGUCCUAGCUUGGCACAAAAUAAGAAAAUAAAUGAGGUAUAAGAACUGAAACAGGAAACAAAGCUGCUUUUUCAGACAGUAUAAUUAUCUAUAUAAAAAUCCAAGAAAAUCCACAAAUAAUCUAUUAAAAUGAAUAACAGCAGGUUUGGGGGACACAGGACAAACAUGAAAGCGUAGUCGUUUUCUAUAAUUAUUAAUCAACCUUAAAAUAUAAUCAUAAUGCAAAAAAAAUCAUUGAGAAGAAAAUUACUAUUUCAUGUCACAAGGGACAAUUAAUUAACUUUUUAUCCGGUACUGUUAAGCAAAAUAAAAAUGAACUGAAAAGAAAUGAAGGGAUAGGUAUGCCAUGUUCAAGGUUACAAAAGAUGAGGUAUGAAAGAGAUGACAAUUCUCUUCCAUGCCAUUCGGUUGAAAUCUCAAUAGGAAUAGGAUUUUAAAAUAAACUUCAACUUCUAGAUUGACUACAAUGCCCUAGGAACAAUAUAAUAGAAAGCAACUUUUAUUUUAAUCCUUAUCACUUCGUAAUUGUGGCUGCAUCCUUUUCUGGCCAUCUUUGUUAAUAAAUAUCACAAUGUAAAAAAUAAAACAUAAACUUUGACAAGCUGACCCUAAAAUUAUGUGAAAAAAUGAAGGGCAAAGAAUAGGCAAGGCAAUGGCAAAGAAAAUAAAACAGGGAGCACUUAAUUCCCAGGUAGUUAAACCUUUUUUUAAAAAAAUAAUUUACUUAUUUGGCUAUGCUGGGUCUCCGUUGCUGCACUCGGGCUUGCUCUAGCUGCAGUGAGCAGGGGCUACUCUCUAAUAGCAUUGU